GCAGAUUCAAUACCGUUAAUGGUGCGGUUGAGUUCGGAAACAGAAACAAUGUUGUCGUUGGUUCGUGUUGCUGAAACGGAAUGUCAACACGGCGUCGUUGUUAGUUGGAUGGAGUUCUGUCCAAAAAUAACAAGGUUAAUGCGCGGUAGCUCUUCGAAUCGGACCGAGUUUCGUGGUUGGGAUUUGAAGAGAAAGUCGUUCACGAUGUAGAUCGGCAGACCAAUAGAGAAGUGGUUUCGGUUGUUUGUUUGGUGGCGGAAGAGGGUUCAAAGGGGAUUUUGGCGAUUGAGAAUGAGAAAGGGAUAAUCGUGUUGGUGAGCUUGGUUUUUCAUCGGUGAAGACGAUAAAGGUGGUGGUGAGCGGUGAAGCAGAAGGUUUGUGUGGGUUUCCGGCGACUGGAAGAAGGUCGUCGCCAGCGUCGCUGAAUAUUCAGAGUGAUGGGUUAUUUUAUGAUGGUGAAGGCAAGACGGCGAGUUGAAGCAAACUAAGGGAGUGAAGCGAAUAUUGUGGUGCGGUUGUGUGCCGGCGGAAGGAGAAAGAAGAAGACAUUCAGAAAGAAACCUUUUCUUGUGUCUGUUGGGUUUUUUUUAGCCAAUGAGAGAGAAGAGUAUCCUUUUCUUUUCUUUUCGUUGAGAGUCUCUCAGUGAGGUACUGAAUAGUGAGUGGGUUAUAUGAAUGAGGUGAGACUGAGAAAGAGUUAAAGUGAGUGAGGUGAUAGGUGGCGUGUGUUGAGAGAGAUGGAGGUAGCGUGAAGGUAAGAGAUACGCAAGCUGGAUACCAGCUGUCAAAAAAGAGAAUCCAAUGUAAAUUUUAUUUUAUUUUUGAUGAAAAUAAUUACUAUUAUAAAAAAUCCUAUUAAAAAUUUCUAAUAACUAUUUUGAUUUGUUAACUUAAUAAAAAUAGUGAUCGAUUAUAAAUAUAAGUCGGAUAUAAAUUUGCUCUAAAAAUUAAAUCAAACACACUAAAAUGAUCAGCAUAAAAUAUACUUAUUGAAAAAAUACAGCGUUUCCUCAAAUUCUGAAAUAAAUUUGCACCGGUCAAAAGGCUUAGGCGGUCAAAAUGUAAUCGAAACAGUCGCUAAAAAAAUACAACGAGCAUACUAGGUUAAACUACGUGAACAGUAGAUUAAUAAUACUGGUGUCUGCAAUUUUAAAUUUGAAACUUUUUACCCGCUGAUUUUACAUGUUCUUGAGAAAUGAUUUAACCAAUUUGUCUGUAUUUUCAAUAAAUUUAUUCUGACUGAUAUUUUAGGUUUUAUUCAUGAUGAAAUGCAUGUCAUCCUGUGCAUAUGAUGCAAAUUAAAAAUAAAAUCGGUUUUACAAAAAUUUAAAUAUGCCCGGACAAAAUUGGGGUAUGACAGCAUCUGACUGAUAUUUUAGGUUUUAUUCAUGAUGAAAUGCAUGUCAUCCUGUGCAUAUGAUGCAAAUUAAAAAUAAAAUCGGUUUUACAAAAAUUUAAAUAUGCCCGGACAAAAUUGGGGUAUGACAGCUGCCCCUAUUUCAUUAUCUUGAACUAGAAAGUAAGAAUGACAAUAGUCUUCGUACAUUCGUAGUGGAAGGUAAUUAAAUACGAAAAGUCCCAAAUUUUGUCCUGGGAAAUGCAAGGAAGAAAAUAUAGGAAGAAAAUGCAGUGAGAAAUAGUGAUAGACGUUAUCCUAAAGUAAAAUGGAACAGCCAAGACUUUUUGGGAGUCGUCAGAACAGUAUCUUGGACGUCAUAGUUGAGAUAUGUUAGUAAAGGAAUGACAUCCCUAGCUAAAUCUCAAGAUUUUUCAGUAUGCUAGAGCAGUAUAAAGAAAAUUUGGCAUGAGACUCUUCAUAUUGAUGAAGCAGCAUCUCAACAGUAAAAGUGAGAUUCUCUGUAUCGAGUCGAAGCGGCAUCUUAUAUGAUAGAAUUAAGAUGUUCCAGCAAGGGAAAGAUACCUUAAUUGAAUCUAAGACUCUCCGAGGAUAUUAGAGCAGUAUCUCUGAAAACAAAUCUGUAAUGAGAACUCUUUCAAAUUAUGAAGCAGUACUCAAACAGUAAAAUGAGAUUCUCUGUAUCAAGUCUCGAAAACAGCAUCUUAUAUAUGAUAGAAUUAAGAUAUUCCAAACAAGGGGAAUCAAUACCUUAAUUGCAUCUAGACUCUCCGAGGAUCUUAGAGCACGUACCUCUAAAAAAUCUGAAAUGAGACUCCUUCAUAUUGAUGAAGCAGUAUCUCAACGGUAAAAAAUGAGAUUCUUGUAUCGAGUCGAAGCAGCAUCUUAUAUGAUAGAAUUAAGAUUUCCAGCAAGGGAAAGAAUACCUUAAUUGAAUCUAAGAACUCUCCGAGGAUAUUUAGCAAGAUCUCUAAAAACAAAUCUGUAAUGAGACUCUUCAUAUUGAUGAAGCAGUAUCUCAACAGUAAAAAUGAGAAUCUCUGUAUCAGUCGAACAGCAUCUUAUAUGAUGAAUGUAAGAUAUUCCGAACAAGGGGAAUGAUACCUUAAUUGAAUUAAGACUCUCCGAGGAUAUUAGAGCAGUAUCUCUAAAAAAUCCUGAAAUGAGACUCUUCAUAUUGAUGAAGCAGAUCUCAAACAGUAAAAAUGAGAUUCUCUGUAUCGGUCGAACAGCAUCUUAUAUGAUAGAAUUAAGAUAUUCCAGCAAUGGGGAAAUACCUUAAUGAAUCUAAGACUCCCGAGGAUAUUAGAGCAGUAUCUCCAAAAAAAUCGAAAUGAGACUCUUACAUAUUGAUGAAGCCAGCAUCUCAAACAGUAAAAAUGAGAUUCUCUGUAUCGGAGUCAAAAACGCAUCUUAUAUGAUAGAAUUAAGAUAUCCACAAGGGAAAAAUACCUUAAUUGAAUCUAAGACUCUCGAGGAUACUAGAGCAGUACUCUAAAAAAUCUGAAAUGAGAACUCUUCAUAUUGAUGAAGCAGUAUCCUCAAAUAGAAAAAUGAGAUUCUCCGUAUCAGUCGAAGCACAUCUAUAUGAUAGAAUUAAUAUUCCAGCAAGGGAAUUUAUUUAAUUGAAUCUAAGACUUUCCGAGGAUAACUUAGAGGCAGUAUCUCCUAAAAAUUGGAAUAUGAGACUCUUCAUAUUGAUGAAGGCAGUAUCUCAAACAGUAAACGAUGAGAUUCUCUGUACGAGUCGAAGGCAGCAUCUUAUACGAUGAAAUUAAGAUAUUCCGAACAAGGGAAUGAUACCUUAAUUGAAUCUAAGACUCUCCGAGGAUACUAGAGCAGUAUCUUGAAAACAAAUGAGAUUCUUCAAAUGAAUGAAGCAGUAUCUCAAACAGACAAAUGAGAUUCUUCGGAUAAAUGAAGUAGUAUCUCGAAUAUCCGUCUGUUGGGGGAACUUUAAGAAAAGACUCCUUUUGAGGGAGACAUACUGGAAAUGCUCUGCAGGGGAAAAAGCUCAUAAGAGACUUUUUAGGGUAACCUCUGCUUGAGGAGCGAUGAUUGUAAAGAAAAUUGUUGGGAAUAUCAUUAUUAAUCGUAAAGUCAAAAAAAUGAUUUACUGAGACAUAAUCCCACGAGCAUAUGCAGGGUAAUAACUUCAUUUGGAAUGAGGAAUGUCCAAGAUAUACAUGAAUGACCUUAGGUCAUGACAUUUUACUUUUGAUUUUUGUAUGAUGUCCCACUUUAGGUGGGAAAACCAUGCAUGGGAUGGUGCAUGGGAUGUUUGCAAGUAUGCAAUUUCGCUGGGGAUAUUUGGUUGUGCAUGUAGGAAUGCAAAUGAUUUUUAUUUUGCUGAAAUUCUCAUUUUGUGGGAGUGUUAUGCAUGAGUAUGUUGAUGAUUGACAUGACUUGUGUUUUUUUAAUUUUCUGUUUGGUAGGAAAACCAUGUAUGGAUGAUUCGUGUGAUGCAUGUGGGAAUGCAACUGGGUAAUUUGAUGUUUUUGUAGGGUUUUAUUCUUGACUGCCAAUGAGGUUGGACUUUAAAUGGGAACUGCCAGAUGAGAACUGGUGAAGGAGAUUGAACUGCCAGAUGAGGACAACACUUGAAGGAUAUGUUACCAGACGUGAACUGGAGAAAAUAAUUGAAAUGUUAGACAGGACUGAAUUUGUUUUUAUUAUCAGACGGGAACUGACUUUUUUAAAAUAGGCUACCGGACGAGAACUGGUGAAAAUAAUUGACUACCAGAUGAGAACUGGUAUCGAAAUAAGUGACCUACAAGACGAGAACUGGUAUUAAGAGAUAACUUACCAGACGAGAACUGGUAUUUGGCAAAUGAUUUGUCAUGCAAGAACUGAUUUUUGAUAUAGUUCGCCAGACGAGAACUGCUGAAGGAGAUUGAACUGUCAGAUGAGGACAACACUUGAAGGAUAUGUUACCAGACAUGAAUUGGUGAAAAUAAUUGACUACCAGAUGAGAACUGGUAUCGAAAUAGGUGACCUACCGACGAGAACUGGUAUUAAGAGAUAAUUUACCAUAAGAGAACUUGGUAUUUGGCGAAUGAUUUUUCGUACAAGAACUGAUUUUUGAUAUAGUUUGCCAAACGGGAACUGGACUUUGGAAUAAGUUGUCAGACGAGAACUGGACUUUGAAAUAAAUUGCGAGACGGGAACUGGGCUUUGAAAUAAAUUGCCAGACGGGAACUGGGCUUUGAAAUAAAUUGCCAGACGAGAACUGGAUUUUGAAAUGGCCAAGCGAUGUUGGGCUUUUAUGUCAUAUUUUGUGUUUUAAGGCUUUUUGAUGUCAGGUUCAUGUUAUGGGUUAUGCCUGAUAAAUGAUAUGAUAUGCAUGGCUUUGUGCUAGAGUAAAGCGACAUGACUAAUGCAUGAUGAUGAUUUAUGUAAUGAUUGGAAGGUUUCCAAAAUGCCUCUGCGCGGGUAUUGGAAGAAAAAGUUUUUUUUUGCAGAAAGGCUUUUGUCUGUCAAAAGGUUAUUUUAUGGGGUGAUAGCGUGAUUCCCCGACACUCAUCUUGAACUCUGCAGUUGAUGACGUGUGAAAAAAUCUUUCCCUUGAACAGCUUGAAGUCAGGGAGAUGACUUGCUCCUGUAUGGAUCAUCUUGCCCCAAUGUGAUGGGUCUAUGCAAAAUGUUUACCUCGAAAGGAUUUUGAAAGCAAUUGUACCAUAAUUUGGAGAUGGAUUGGGGGUCUUAAAACUAGGUACUUUCCUAAAUAGGAACCAUAACCGACUCUUGGAGUGGUUGACUUUUCUGUGCUCUUGAGGUAGCUUGCCCCAGUAUGAGCGUUGAAGCGACUUAACUCACCCUAACUAAAUAUUGAAGGGGUCUGCCCCUGGCUACCAGAACCUCUAAGUGAUCUUCCCCUAGUUAAUAGAGUCCUGAGAUGAUUUUCCCUGGAUCAACUGAUUCUUGAAAUGAUUUGCACAUUCAUUAACAGAUGUUAGGGGACUGUUUCAAGCUGACCAAUUCUCGGAGUAAUUUUCCUAUGACCAACUGAUGUUUAGGUGGCAUGUCUCAGAUUCAUAGGUGUCAUACCCCAAUUUUGUCCGGGCAUAUUUAAAUUUUUGUAAAUCUGACUUGAUUUUUUAAUUUGCAUCAUAUGCACAGCGUGACAUGCAUUUCAUCAUUAAUAACACAUAAAAUAUCAGUCAGGAUAAAUUUAUUGAAAAUACAGACAAAUUGGUUAAUUCGUUUCUCAAGAGCAUGCAAAAUCAGCGGGUAAAAUGUUUCAAAAUUAAAAUUGCAAACACCAGUAUUAUUAAUCUACGGUUCACGUAGUUUAACCUGGUGUGUUCGUUGUAUUUUUCAGCGACUGUUUCGAUUAUAUUUUGACCCGCCUGAGCCUUUUAACCGAUGCAAAAUUAUUUCAGAAUUUGAGGAAAUGCUGUAUUUUUUCAAUAAGUAUAUUUUGUGCUGAUCAUUUUAGUGUGUCUGAUUUAAUUUUUCUAGUAAAUUUACAUCCGACUUCUAUUUGUAAUUAAUCCUUUUUUUUUCUAAAAUCCAAAUUAAAGUUUUUAUUAUUAAUUAGUUAAAUUAAAUUACUAUUUAAAGAAUUUCUAAUAAAUCUUCUAAUAUAUAAUAAAGUUAUUUGCAAAUAAAUGUAUUUAAUUAGGAUUGGAUUCUUUUUGCAAUUUAACAACUCAUCAGUCUUAUCCCAACGAAUACUCUCUCUCUAAUUUGACAGCUCACAUAAUCCACACACCCACUCAUUUCUCUCUGCUCCCACUCACUAAGGGAUCACACACAACCCUCACAUUUGCUGAUUCUCUCUCUCGGAAAUAAAGAAAAAGACAAAAAAAAAAAGAAAAGAAGGAAAAAGGGAUAAAUCUCUUAACGGUGACCCUUCAACAAACACACACAAAAUCUCUCUUCCCCCUCUCUCACUAAAAAAAGCUGAAAAAUAGAAAAAAGAGAAAGAAAAGUAGGAUAGGAAAUUCUUCAUUUCCUUCAAAACUCAUUCACCGCACUCCACCACAACCCCAACCUUCAAACUUCCUCUUCCUUCAAAACCCAUCGCUUACACCACCACAACCUCACCGUCAUACUCUCACGAAACCCUCACCGUUCCUCUCUCACAACCACCGCGAGCUCAACAUUCGUUCUCUCCAUCUCCGUCUCGCAGCCACAUCUCUCUCACCAUGCAAAUCAACACCCCCACAUGACCGUCAAAUCCUCCUACCGCCAACAACCUUCACUCCGCCGCUGAAACCCACAAAACAAUCUUCAUUGUUCCUCGCCGGUUUUAUCCUCUUUUGUUAACCUCGCAUCCGAGAUACCGCCAUCGUGUCGGUAACUUCGACUCAACAGAAGCUGAAGUUUCUGAUUUACUUACUGAUAUUUGGCUUCGAACCUCGCAUCCGAGAUACCGCCAUCGUGUCGGUAACUUCGACUCAACAGAAGCUGAAGUUUCUGAUUUACUUACUGAUAUUUGGCUUCGAGUUUACUGCAGAAUACUUCCAAACAACAAAUCAAAGUCUGCAUUUCUAUAAUUUCCAAGCCGUGUCCAAGGUCGGUUCUCACCAUUUCCGACGAUAGCAAAGGUUGACGCAGAUCUCACCUUCGCCAUUCUCGAUCCGGUUGGUAUUCGACUUAUAUUUCGGCGAAGUUUGGAUUUUAUUAUGUUAUUUCUGUUCAGAUUUUGGGUUCUAGUUAUUUUGAAAUUUGAUUUUGUUUUUUGAUUAUUUUGGAUAUGGAACUGUUAUGUUUGGAAUGUUAGCAUUAAUCCUGGGAAUGUUAGCAUUAAUCCUGUUUUAAGGCGGAUUCGGUUUCCAUGGCAGCAUACUCCGGUAUUGUUUGGCCGAAGGAUACUUCUAGGAAUAUCUUAGUUUCUUCAUAGAAGUUGAAAAAAUAAAAGAAUUAUUAUUUUUAUUUUAUUUAUUUAUUUUUAGUAUGUGAAAUUUCGUAACUGAUGGUGAAGUGGUGUGUACGUUGAGUUUUGCUAUGGCAUUCAUGUACCUUGGGUUCCUUUAUUCAUCAUUUGUUUGAUUAAUAGUUUAUAAUAUGGGGUUGAAUUUAGUGCUGUUUCUAAAGAGCUCAAUGCUACAAGUGUGUACUACUUCUAUAUGAUCAUGUUUGGGCCAAUUUAUACAUGUGAUAGAUGUUUAAAUUGCUGCCCAUCUUUCUUUAUCAUUUGAAAAUAUCAUAAACAAGUUGGGGAUGGCUGUUAUUCUAUUUCAUUACGGUAUCAUAUGAACCGGUUUUCCGGUCUGUGGAUUCGGCAAUUUUAUGCCGGCAUACCACCAAACUUCAAUAAAUUAAUUGUACGAUUUCACCGCGUUUAGAACUCACAUACGACAUUUCAAUUUCAUGGUCGUUAUAUUCAUCGUUACAUGCUGAUUAAAUCAAUGUUAAUUCCUAUUUUCUUUCUCUUUUGGCUUAAUUAAUUGAUUAAAACUUGAUGAGUUUAAUUUCUAUUAAUCAAUUUUAAUUAACUUAAUUUUUUGAAUUAAUUAAAUAAUUUUGAUAAUUAACUUUAAUUAAUUUAAUUAAUCAAUUUAAAUCAAAUUUUAAUAAAUUAAUUUUGUUAAAAAGAAAUUGAUUAAUUUCUCCCACUCUCACAACUUAAUAUUACUUCAACAAAAAAAAAAACAUUUUAUGUCAUCAUUAUUUCAUCAACCAUUUCCAAUUUUAUUUCAAAACAAAUUCAUCAUUAAUCCAAACCAAUUUCAAAAAGCACAAAUCAUACAAUUCUCGAUUCAACAUCGAGUCCACUUUCAAACUCCCUUGUAAGUCGAUUGCUCUUCGCAUCGCCAUCAACCUCACAUAGCUUACUCUUGAGCUUCCUUACAAUGAAACCUACUUGGUUAUUGAUUAACCGAGUAGAUGAAAUAAUACACUAAAUAAAUUUCAUUUAUUCAAUCAACAUGAAUUCAAGCAUUUUUCCAAACCAUUUAACUUCUAAGUUAUUUCAUUUAUUCAAUCAACAUGAAUUCAAGCAUUUUUCCAAACCAUUUAACUUCUAAGUUUUUUCUCUUUCAAACAUAAACUUGGGAUGAAAAGGAGAUAGUAAGCGUACGCUUCACUAUUUCUCAAUUACUCGAAUAAUUGGUGUACGCCAUAUUGCGCGAGUUCUUGUCACCCGAUUAAAUCUUAAAUCACACAAUUUCAAAUCAUUUUUUUUCAGAAUCAAAUAUAAUUUCCAAAUUCAAAUUAUUCAAACCAUAACACUUCAAAUCAUAAUAUUUUAAAUCAUUUCUACAAAUUCCAAAUCCGUUUAAUUCCAUCUCUGAAUGAAAAGGAGAAUAGUGAGCAUCCGCUUCAUUAUCUCUCGAUUAUACGAAUAAUUGGCGUACGCCAUAUUACUCAGAUUUUCGUCAUUCAAAUAAAACCCUGAUAAUCAUACAAGUUCAAAUCACAUCUUCUAAAUCAACUACAAAUUCCAAAUCCUUUUUUAAGGUACAAAGUCUACUUUUCUCCUAUCCUCCGCAUGCGGUCACUAUCUUUCGAUUAUUCGGAUAAUUGGCGUACGCCACAUUGCUCGAAUCUUCGUCAUCAAUUCAAAACCACAAUCGAAUAAAUUCAAAUCAUCUUUCGAUCAAAACUUACCAGUCCAAAAUCCAAACAUAUCUUUUAGAAUUUAAACUUCGGAUGAUAAAAGAGGGGAGGCGUACGCCUCAUCCUCUCUCGAUUAUUUGAAUAAUUGGCGUACGCCAUAUUGCGCAAAUUAUCGAUUUCCGACUAAAACAUGCUAAAUAAACUUGGAUAAAGGAAUAAGUGGCGUACGCCUCAUUAUCCUUUGAAUAAGCAAGUAGGGGGCGUACGCCUCACUACCGUGCAUAUUCAACAUCCACAAACAAACUUUCAAAACAAUUCGAACGAAAAAGGAGUAGAAGGCGAACGCCUCGUUAUUCCUCGAAAGAAUUGGACGAUUGGUGAACACCACAUUGCUCAAUCUUUCGUCGUUCUUCAAAAAACAUCUCAAACAAAUCAAACUCAACUUCUCGCCCCCGAGCGAUCGAAACCAAAACACCCAAACACAUCAAUCCAACUUGUCACCCCCGCGUGACCAAAACCCUACACUGUCAUCCUUUUCUAAGCGCAUAACAAACCAGUGCUUAAGCCUUCGCCGAGAGUAGACAAGCCAGCGUUUAGCCUUUAAAGCGCCGACCUACACAAUCGCCAUCAAACAAAACAACACCAAAAACCGUAGUUGCCCGAACUACGCAUGCUCUCUUUCCUUAUUGCACCAUCAGAUACGUAGCGCAGGCAGAUUGCUUACUCUUCGCCGAGAGCACACCUACAUAAACCAGCCUCCCAUUCCCCCCCUCCUCGAGGUCUUCAUCGGCAUAUCUAUCAUCAACUUCUAAUCCUACACUCGAAGCAAACAAGUAUAGUCCAAUUAAAACAGUCAAAUAGCAGAAAAUCAGACUAAGAGGUCCCAGUUGAGUAUAACGGACGUGAGGGGUGCUAAUACGCGCUUCCCCCUUGCACGUAAUCGACUCCCGAACCCGAAUAUGGUUGCCGGACCAUUUAUUCUUAUGCUAUAGAGGUUUUCUGCGAUAUCUUUCAACUAUCCCUUCAUUUGGCGAUAAAUAAAGUUCGGUGGGCGACCUCUGUUCGAGACUAAGCAUUUUUCCGCGUCCACUCGCGAGGCGAUCGCAUUAUCACUCAUUUUUGAGGUGCGACAAUAGGUGUGAGGUAGUCUUGACUCGGGUUCAACACAGGCGAAUGUCCAGUUCCUCUGAUUGUUCCUUAUUGUUGGAAUUUCCCGCUGACGCCACGUACUGUUUUGGCAAUUAAAUUGUUUGUUCAGAAAUUGGUAAAUCCAAGUUUUGAAAAGAAUCUUAUUUGAAUGUGUGAUAAUCUGUGAUGAUGGCACGCAUCGAGUCAAAUGAUGCGCUACAAUUAAAGUGUGAAAGACACAGUGAGACGUAAUGACAGGUCGAUCGUUGACCAGAUUAGCAAUCUUUAGGAGUCAGUUUACGCAACUUGCUGUAAUACCUGCUUUCCGGAAAUAACCUACCUAAUUAGGCUCUUUUGAAGGGUUGUAAACGAGGUUUGGUUUCAGGUUUAUUGAAACAAAAGGAUAUAAGGCUUGAAGUUAUUUAACCCACCCUUUCUUCACGAUGAUCUCCAAUCGCUACGUUUAAUUAAUUCGACACAGCCUUACUCUUACGAAGAUUUCAGCAAUGUAAGAUCUUUUUGAAUGACAGUCACUUAUUUCGACUCUUUAUCGGAUGUUGGUGAUCUUUUGAUUGGAUACUGGUGUCCACUGACUCGUUUUGGUUUUGUUGAGGUUUUCAUCGACCUCCUUCUGAUUUUUUGGCUUUGAUCCUAACUCUUUGCAUGGACCGUUUUUUGAGCUUUAGUCACUCGGAUUGCCCUAUUUUUUGCCUACAGCUCGUAUCUUUGGCGCGUCGACUUAGGCCGGGCUUUUCCUUUGAUUCUUUUUGCAAAAUUUUGUCGACUGCCCAAGUCAAUGGUCAUUCGGAGAACACACCAACAUAAACUUUUGGAUUUUGCACGUUCCUCGACAAACUUCAGGAUGUGUGCGAUAUCAUGUGUUGAUCCUGCAGACAGAUAUUUCCGUCUUGUAUCCGAAUGCUGUACGUUGAGACUUAACUGAAAAACAAAACCCUUAACACUGCCCCAGGUUUAAUGUAAGGUUUUUUUUAGAUCCGAACAGAGACUCCUACUUCUAGGCUCGAAGUGGUUGACUAGGGAUUAAGCUCCUUAUCUCUCCAGUGUUUUGGGAAUUUGAAAUAAGGCCUGUACAUCAUCAGUAGGAUUUUAUCGCGAAAGCCAUACAGUCCAGCAAUUAAUGGUAUUUUAUUUUCGUCUAUCCUCCCUCAAAUCUUUUGCUCAAAACAAACCAAUAGUUUAUGAUACAAGAAAAUGAAUGGGAGAAACACAAUGUAUUUUUUUGUUUUUGAUAUACAGAAGCAACAAAAUGAACGGAAUGGCGCACGAAACUUAUUCAAACAACACCAUCCACUUAUUCAUACAACUAUUACCAUUCAAAACAACAAUGUUUAACACCAAGCAGGCUUAAGCAAAAAGAAACUACAAAUGCAAAAAUAGAAGACAAAAUCAGUCCAACGAUUGCCAGUGUUGAGGAACUGUCUUCCCUUUUUGAUGGAAACUAUCGUACUUACACAAGUUGGUCUACGCUGAUUUUUCAUCGAGUCCAGCAUCUCCUGCCCAAUGCAAUAGACUUUGGCCCACACGUCCAUGGAUCUUUCAGAGCUACUUCCAACGUCUGAUAUGAAAGUAUGGGAAUCAGCUGCAGGUUCAUGGACGAAGGGUGGAUGAGUUUUUUUGUAUAUAUUUUGUAUGAAAGGGUGAUAUGAAUGCAUGAUGAUUGCAGAUGCAUGAUAUGUGUAUGACUUGUAGUGACACAUUCAGGAUCACAAGGUUCAAAGUAUUUUCAUAUGAUUCGAAUAACGGGUAAAUGACAAGGUAAUCUCUGAUUAAUAGAAACCCCAUGGGUAGGCUCUAACAGUUGGUAGGAUUCGGCCAGAGUCAAUGAUAUUUCUUGAGGACUCACUGCCGUGACGAAGACUCGUCGAGGCAUAGUAUCCUCAAGAAAGAUCUCGUCUAAGGUGAGGUCUUUGUAUAUCCAACAAGGAAAACCCAUGAGGCUUCUACUACAUGACUGCUCGAGUCCAGGGUCUAACACAAGGUUCUGCAAGAGUCAUAGAAUCGAGGUUGGAAAUAUUCGCUGUAAGAUAGUAAACGACCAAGGAUCUCAUACUGAUUGGGGCUUUCGUAUCUAACGCCAACAAGUCUGAACCUUGUAGGUUAAUUACUACAUAACCAAUCGGAUUAUACAUGGGUUAAAAGGUCCCUAGAGUCAUUGAUUCCAUCUUGAGAAAUACUAUCGUCGUUGACGAAGACAUCGUCCAGGCAAUAAUAUCUCACGAGAAUCUCCUCUAGCGCGGGGUCCCUUUCGUUUCCUCCCAACAAGGAAGACUCCUUGUGGGCGCCCACUAGCACAACCACCGAACUUAAUCUUAUGGUUUUUCUCAGCUGGGUAGAGAGGCCCUAUCUCACAAAGUAUCCCACCUAGACGAACCCCAAAUAAGACAUAGUCAAUAAAUCACAAUAUAAUAAUUAUGACAGAAAUUAACAUAAUAUGCAGAAUAAGAUACACAGAUAAACAAACAGAUUAACACACAAUAUUAAACUGGAACUAAAUUACGGCUUCACUCUCUCUAUGCUGUGAGCUAAGUCCCCAGCAGAGUCGCCAUCUGUCGCAUCUCGAAAAUACGAUUCCUCGCGAUGGUCGGCGAAAAAUUUAUGUUCGAACAGAGUCGCACCGAACUUUAUUUAUCGCAAUGAAGGAUAGGUAAAUACGAUAAAACCUUUAGGAAAUGGAAUAAUGGUCGUCACAGACCAUAUUCGGGUUCGGGAGUGGAUUACGAGGGAGGUAUUAGCACCCUACGUCCGUUGUACUCAACGGGGAACCUUUUAAUUCUAAUUUCAUUUGCUGUUAGAUUUAAUGUUUGUUUUGUUCAUGUUGAGGUUAUAAUAUCGAAAAUAAAUGGUGGAACCUCAGAAGGAGAAAGGGGAGGUUUUUUAUUAGUGUGCUCGGAAGAUACAAUAUCCUGCCUACGUAUCCUUAUAAUAAGGAAAUCAGAGCAUUCGUAGUUCGGGGACUACGGUUGGUUGGUGUUUUUUUAUGAGCAACUGUUUGGAUCGCUUCCUAAAGGCUAAAGUUGGCUUGUCUACUCUCGGCGGAGGCUUAAGCACUGCGUUUGUUUGUGCGAUUAGAAAGGAUUAACGAUGUUCUUCUGAAAGAGUUUUGCACGCGGGGUGACAAGUUGGAUUAAUAUGUGGGAUAUUUUGUUUGGACUGGUGUUAGUGUUGAGAUAUGUUUUGGUUGGAUCGACGAUUACUCGGAUGUCGAGUUAAGACAAUCCGUAUCCUAACAAGUCGAAUAGGGAAUAGAAGACUCUAGAACCACUUUCUUUUUCAUCUUUAAUUAUAUGAAAGGAUUUGAUGAAUAAUUUCAGCGUGUAAUUAUAAUGGAUGAGAAUACCCGGAUAUCGAGUACAGAAGCCAAUCGUAUCCUACUUCAAUCAGCACAAGAAGGAAUAGAAACUCUAGACCCCUCACUGUUCUUUCAUCUAAGUGAUUAUAAAAUAAGUUUAUUGUACGGUCGAUGUAUUUUUAGAAUGAACGCAAGUUGCUUGAUGACUGAGUAAAACAACUCAAUAUCCAGCAUUUGAGCAAGGGGGGCAAAAAAAUUGAAACUAUAACCAUCUCCCUUUGUACAGUUUGGUUAGAAAUGAUUUGACUAAGUGUAUGUUUAUAAAAUGACAAAGUGUUUGAGCUGACCGAGUAAGAGACCCUCGUAUUCAAACAAUUGAGGAGAGAAGUUGGAUGGAUCAAGUCAUCUCCUUUUCAUUUAGCUUAUUAUUGAAUAAUUUGAUUUAAUCGGUUUAGAAGUUUGUAGAGGAACGCAUUAUUUGCAUAACCAAGUAAGGAGAACUGUAUCAAAAUAAAUCGAGGAAAAAAAUUGAAGACUCAAAGUCAUCUCCCUUUUCAUUUUUUAAUUAUAAAAUGAUUGAUUUGUUGUGCUUCAGGUUAAUAAGAAGUUGACGACCAUUUGACUAACCGAGUAAGAGAAUCGUAUUCAACAUAAUUCGAGGAGAAGAAUGAAAACUCAAGCCAUCUCACCUUUUCAUUUCGCAAAUGAAAUAGUAUUUGAUUGUGAUUAGACUAUUUAAUUUACUUUAAUAGAAAUACUCGAUGUUGGAUCGAGGUUUUAAAAAUCGUGUUUUUUGUCGAAGUGAUUCGGAUUUUAUUUAGUGAAUCAAUCACUACUCGAUUAUCAAUAACCGAAUAGUCUAUUGUAAGAAAGCCCAAGAGUAAGUAUGUGAGUUGAUGGCGAUGCUGAAGAGCAAUCGACCUACAAAGGUAUUUGAAAGACGGAGUCGACAUUCGAAUCGAGAAUUGUUUGAUUGGAGAAUUUGGUUUUAAUUUAGGUGGACCAAUCUAAAACUAAAGAAAGUACAUUCUAUUAAAAAAGUUAGUUGCAUCAGGGGGUGUUAGGAACGUUCUCUGGUAAUGGAAUAAUUCUACUAAACUUGACAAAAUUGAGUAAGAUAAUCAAAAUAUUUACAUCCUAAUAUUUCUCCUAUACUUUCAAGGUGAAAACGACAAUACAACGAGUCUACAGUAAGCGACACCACAUUGAAAGAUCUCAUAAAUAUUCUCAUAAAUACUUUUUCAGUCAAAAGGAAACAACAUAAUGCAAUUGCCCAAAUAACAUGUGAGUUUACUUAUUAAGAAUAUCAUGGCUAACUUCAGCAUAUUUUAUUACAAUUAAAAUUCCUUAUGUUCAUUUCUAGUUUUCAAUUAAGCACUAUACAAAGUAACUACCUUAAUUCAAUUGCACUCUCCCUCAUUUCAAGAUACGUGUGUUUGUAUAAUAACAAUGAAAACCUUUUAAUUUAUUUUGUAAAACAAUGAAUGUAAUAAUUUUGUGAAACUUGUAAUUUAUUAGUAAACACAAGAACAUUAUCUCAAACCUAAAACAAGUCCUAAAAAUAAUUAAAUCAAUAACCAUUUCCUUCAGGCAUGAACUAAUAUUAGAAACAAUCAAAGGAGGUUUCUAGUGAAAAAG
rnacentral:lncRNA from 1 species